GGAACAGAAACAAAAUAGGAUCAGCGAGGUGGUGCUGGCUUGUUUUAUUUUUACAAAUAUAUGCUAUGAGCAAGCAUAGAUAAAAUGAAUACAUUGUAGAAGGAAGAGUAAUUUAGACAUAUUUCAGCAGUCAGCUUGACUCCCAUACUACUUUGUUAUGGAUAUCUGUUAAACACUACACGUUCCGUCAUAAUUCUACAGCGUUGCACAACAUUCUGUGUUCUAAGCUGAAGUUAAUCAGCGUACACUGUGGUGUAAAGACACAUGUCAAAACUAGAUAAAGCUGAAUGAAAGAAGGAAAAAAGUCACUGAGCAAGAGAGAAGUGCAGCAAGGAAGGUAUAUCAUAAAUAAUUCUUUUCCUGAAAUGGCAUGGCAGACUUCUGAAACACAGAUCAACUGAGAGACAGGGAUAGUUCUCAGUGGACACAGCUCCAACUAGAAUUUUCCACAGAAUCAACACUGCCAUUCAGCAGUGACUGACUGAACUUAAGAGCUCCGCUCCAAAAAUAACGCAGUUUGCAUAUUGCAUAGAAGCAAAAAACCAUUCAAGUUCAAUACCCUUCUGCUGAUGAAAAGGGGCCAUUUGGGUUGAAAUUCUAUACUGAAGAUUAAUGUUCUUUUUUGUAAAGAAAGAAUCAUUAAACAGUACUGAAGCAUCUACUGCUGAAGGCACCAGCACUAGUGUUUAAAAUACUUGUAACUUGUGGUUCUAUUUCUGGCUUUUUUUUU
rnacentral:lncRNA from 1 species